UACGAAGGGGGCUAGCGUUGCUCGGAUUGACUGGGCGUAAAGGGCGCGUAGGCGGCAGCGCAAGUCGGGCGUGAAAUCCCACGGCUCAACCGUGGAAGUGCACUCGAAACUGCGCAGCUAGAGUCCUGGAGAGGAAGGUGGAAUGCUUGGUGUAGAGGUGAAAUUCGUAGAUAUCAAGCGGAACACCGGUGGCGAAGGCGGCCUUCUGGACAGUGACUGACGCUGAGAUGCGAAAGCGUGGGGAGCAAACAGG
rnacentral:rRNA from 1 species